rnacentral:rRNA from 1 species
GGCGUGUGUGCCGUGUCGUGUUUGUCAUCCUUCCAGAGAGCUGCGUCUACCAUUCACUUGGCCGGACGUACGCGAUCUGGAUCGAUUACUUUGAAAAAAUUAGAGUGUUUAAAGCAGGCUUACGCUGUGAAUACAUUAGCAUGGAAUAAUAAUUUAGGACUUCGGUUCUAUUUUGUUGGUUUCUAGGACUGAAGUAAUGAUUGAUAGGGACAGUUGGGGGUGCUAGUAUUCCGCGGCCAGAGGUGAAAUUCUUGGACUCGCGGAAGACUAACUACUGCGAAAGCAUUCACCAAGGAUGUCUUCUUUAAUCAAGAACGAAAGUUGGGGGAUCGAAGACGAUCAGAUACCGUCGUAGUCUCAACCAUAAACUAUACCGACUAAGGAUCAGUGAACGUUGAUUUACGACUUCAUUGGCACUUUGUGAGAAAUCAAAGUCUUUGGGUUCCGGGGGGAGUAUGGUCGCAAGGCUGAAACUUAAAGGAAUUGACGGAAGGGCACCACCAGGAGUGGAGCCUGCGGCUUAAUUUGACUCAACACGGGAAAACUCACCAGGUCCGGACAUAGUAAGGAUUGACAGAUUGAGAGCUCUUUCUUGAUUCUGUGGGUGGUGGUGCAUGGCCGUUCUUAGUUGGUGGAGCGAUUUGUCUGGUUAAUUCCGAUAACGAACGAGACCUUAACCUGCUAACUAGUUGCAGGUACUUUUGUAUCUGACACUUCUUAGAGGGACUGACUA